GAUGAAGAACGUAGUGAAAUGCGAUAAGUAAUGUGAAUUGCAGAAUUCAGUGAAUCAUCGAAUCUUUGAACGCACAUUGCGCCCGCCAGUAUUCUGGCGGGCAUGCCUGUCCGAGCGUCAUUUCAACCCUCGCGCUCAUCUGGGCUGCGGUGUUGGGGACCGGCCUGCCCCCCGGGGCGCGCCGCCCCCCAAAUUCAGUGGCGGUCUCGCUGCAGCCUCCCUUGCGUAGUAGCACACCUCGCACCGGAGCGCAGCGCGGCCACGCCGUAAAACCCCCGACCCCCAUGAGUUUGACCUCGGAUCAGGUAGGAAUACCCGCUGAACUUAAGCAUAUCAAUAAGCGGAGGA
rnacentral:misc_RNA from 1 species